UAGUUCACCAAGACACAGAAAAGAUGCUCAGUACCUAUUGUGAGUUACACAAUGAGAAGACAAGUACUCUUCAGACUACCCUUGAAUCAGGGCAAAGGGCCCUGGAUAUGGAUGGGAGAUAGAGUGAGCCUGGCACCAUUUCAAAUCCUGCCUAAGAGUCUAUGUGAAGUGGACGGCAGGAAAACCAGAGGCUGGGGGAGAGCAGCAGCUGGAGGAAAGUGUACUGCCUGCAUCACAGGAAGUUCAGAAGUACCAUAUAACUC